GGGUUGUGAGGUUAAGCGACUAAGCGUACACGGUGGAUGCCCUGGCAGUCAGAGGCGAUGAAGGACGUGCUAAUCUGCGAAAAGCGUCGGUAAGGUGAUAUGAACCGUUAUAACCGGCGAUGUCCGAAUGGGGAAACCCAGUGUGAUUCGUCACACUAUCGUUAACUGAAUACAUAGGUUAACGAGGCGAACCGGGGGAACUGAAACAUCUAAGUACCCCGAGGAAAAGAAAUCAACCGAGAUUCCCCCAGUAGCGGCGAGCGAACGGGGAGCAGCCCAGAGUCUGAAUCAGCUUGUGUGUUAGUGGAACGGUCUGGAAAGUCCGACGGUACAGGGUGAUAGUCCCGUACACCAAAAUGCACAGGCUGUGAACUCGAAGAGUAGGGCGGGACACGUGGUAUCCUGUCUGAAUAUGGGGGGACCAUCCUCCAAGGCUAAAUACUCCUGACUGACCGAUAGUGAACCAGUACCGUGAGGGAAAGGCGAAAAGAACCCCGGCGAGGGGAGUGAAAAAGAACCUGAAACCGUGUACGUACAAGCAGUGGGAGCACCUUCGGGUGUGACUGCGUACCUUUUGUAUAAUGGGUCAGCGACUUAUAUUCUGUAGCAAGGUUAACCGUAUAGGGGAGCCGCAGGGAAACCGAGUCUUAACUGGGCGUUAAGUUGCAGGGUAUAGACCCGAAACCCGGUGAUCUAGCCAUGGGCAGGUUGAAGGUUGGGUAACACUAACUGGAGGACCGAACCGACUAAUGUUGAAAAAUUAGCGGAUGACUUGUGGCUGGGGGUGAAAGGCCAAUCAAACCGGGAGAUAGCUGGUUCUCCCCGAAAGCUAUUUAGGUAGCGCCUCGUGAACUCAUCUUCGGGGGUAGAGCACUGUUUCGGCUAGGGGGUCAUCCCGACUUACCAACCCGAUGCAAACUACGAAUACCGAAGAAUGUUAUCACGGGAGACACACGGCGGGUGCUAACGUCCGUCGUGAAGAGGGAAACAACCCAGACCGCCAGCUAAGGUCCCAAAGUCAUGGUUAAGUGGGAAACGAUGUGGGAAGGCACAGACAGCCAGGAUGUUGGCUUAGAAGCAGCCAUCAUUUAAAGAAAGCGUAAUAGCUCACUGGUCGAGUCGGCCUGCGCGGAAGAUGUAACGGGGCUAAACCAUGCACCGAAGCUGCGGCAGCGACACUAUGUGUUGUUGGGUAGGGGAGCGUUCUGUAAGCCUGCGAAGGUGACCUGUGAGGGUUGCUGGAGGUAUCAGAAGUGCGAAUGCUGACAUAAGUAACGAUAAAGCGGGUGAAAAGCCCGCUCGCCGGAAGACCAAGGGUUCCUGUCCAACGUUAAUCGGGGCAGGGUGAGUCGACCCCUAAGGCGAGGCCGAAAGGCGUAGUCGAUGGGAAACAGGUUAAUAUUCCUGUACUUGGUGUUACUGCGAAGGGGGACGGAGAAGGCUAUGUUAGCCGGGCGACGGUUGUCCCGGUUUAAGCAUGUAGGCUGGUUAUCCAGGCAAAUCCGGAUAAUCAAGGCUGAGGUGUGAUGACGAGGCACUACGGUGCUGAAGUAACAAAUGCCCUGCUUCCAGGAAAAGCCUCUAAGCAUCAGGUAACAUCAAAUCGUACCCCAAACCGACACAGGUGGUCAGGUAGAGAAUACCAAGGCGCUUGAGAGAACUCGGGUGAAGGAACUAGGCAAAAUGGUGCCGUAACUUCGGGAGAAGGCACGCUGGUGUGUAGGUGAAGCCCCUGCGGGUGGAGCUGAGACCAGUCGAAGAUACCAGCUGGCUGCAACUGUUUAUUAAAAACACAGCACUGUGCAAACACGAAAGUGGACGUAUACGGUGUGACGCCUGCCCGGUGCCGGAAGGUUAAUUGAUGGGGUUAUCCGUAAGGAGAAGCUCUUGAUCGAAGCCCCGGUAAACGGCGGCCGUAACUAUAACGGUCCUAAGGUAGCGAAAUUCCUUGUCGGGUAAGUUCCGACCUGCACGAAUGGCGUAAUGAUGGCCAGGCUGUCUCCACCCGAGACUCAGUGAAAUUGAACUCGCUGUGAAGAUGCAGUGUACCCGCGGCAAGACGGAAAGACCCCGUGAACCUUUACUAUAGCUUGACACUGAACAUUGAGCCUUGAUGUGUAGGAUAGGUGGGAGGCUUUGAAGCGUGGACGCCAGUCUGCGUGGAGCCAACCUUGAAAUACCACCCUUUAAUGUUUGAUGUUCUAACGUUGGCCCCUUACCGGGGUUGCGGACAGUGUCUGGUGGGUAGUUUGACUGGGGCGGUCUCCUCCCAAAGCGUAACGGAGGAGCACGAAGGUUAGCUAAUCCUGGUCGGACAUCAGGAGGUUAGUGCAAUGGCAUAAGCUAGCUUGACUGCGAGCGUGACGGCGCGAGCAGGUGCGAAAGCAGGUCAUAGUGAUCCGGUGGUUCUGAAUGGAAGGGCCAUCGCUCAACGGAUAAAAGGUACUCCGGGGAUAACAGGCUGAUACCGCCCAAGAGUUCAUAUCGACGGCGGUGUUUGGCACCUCGAUGUCGGCUCAUCACAUCCUGGGGCUGAAGUAGGUCCCAAGGGUAUGGCUGUUCGCCAUUUAAAGUGGUACGCGAGCUGGGUUUAGAACGUCGUGAGACAGUUCGGUCCCUAUCUGCCGUGGGCGCUGGAGAAUUGAGGGGGGCUGCUCCUAGUACGAGAGGACCGGAGUGGACGCAUCACUGGUGUUCGGGUUGUCAUGCCAAUGGCACUGCCCGGUAGCUAAAUGCGGAAGAGAUAAGUGCUGAAAGCAUCUAAGCACGAAACUUGCCCCGAGAUGAGUUCUCCCUGAGACUUUAAGUCUCCUGAAGGAACGUUGAAGACGACGACGUUGAUAGGCCGGGUGUGUAAGCGCAGCGAUGCGUUGAGCUAACCGGUACUAAUGAACCGUGAGGCUUAACCUUACAACGCCGAAG
rnacentral:rRNA from 1 species